CUACGUGCCAGCAGCCGCGGUAAUACGGAAGGUCCGGGCGUUAUCCGGAUUUAUUGGGUUUAAAGGGAGCGUAGGCCGGAGAUUAAGUGUGUUGUGAAAUGUAGACGCUCAACGUCUGACUUGCAGCGCAUACUGGUUUCCUUGAGUACGCACAACGUUGGCGGAAUUCGUCGUGUAGCGGUGAAAUGCUUAGAUAUGACGAAGAACUCCGAUCGCGAAGGCAGGUGUCCGGGCUGCAACUGACGCUGAGGCUCGAAAGUGUGGGUAUCAAACAGGAUUAGAUACCCUGGUAGUCCACACAGUAAACGAUGUAUACUCGCGGUUUGCGAUAUAUUGUAAGCCGCCAAGCGAAAGCAUUAAGUAUACCACCUGGGGAGUACGCCGGCAACGGUGAAACUCAAAGGAAUUGACGGGGGCCCGCACAAGCGGAGGAACAUGUGGUUUAAUUCGAUGAUACGCGAGGAACCUUACCCGGGCUUGAAC
rnacentral:rRNA from 1 species